GUGAGUGGGUGGGUGGCUUCCCAGCCUUUAAAGGCUGGAGGAAACUCCGCCCACAUGGUGGACCCGCAGCACCGUAAGGUGUUAGGGUGAGAACCCUACCCAACCACAGAAACAAAACCUCCAACAGGAGAUGUCUAUGAUACGUGGCUGGAAAACGUUGAGAAUCCUGUUGGAACGGUUGAAAGGGGGUUGGGUGCGGGGUGCAAGGACAAAUAGGCAUCGAUGAGGAUUCCACCCUGAAGAUGCGGGUAGUCCGCUUAGCCGUAUGCCACCUAAAACAGAAGGCGGGUUACAACCCACACAC
rnacentral:RNase_P_RNA from 1 species